GCCUUAGGGUGGGGGACAACAGUUGGAAACGACUGCUAAUACCGCAUAACGUCUACGGACCAAAGGGGGCUUCGGCUCUCGCCCUUAGAUUAGCCCAAGUGGGAUUAGCUAGUUGGUGAGGUAAUGGCUCACCAAGGCGACGAUCCCUAGCUGGUUUGAGAGGAUGAUCAGCCACACUGGAACUGAGACACGGUCCAGACUCCUACGGGAGGCAGCAGUGGGGAAUAUUGCACAAUGGGCGCAAGCCUGAUGCAGCCAUGCCGCGUGUGUGAAGAAGGCCUUAGGGUUGUAAAGCACUUUCAGUAAGGAGGAAAGGUUAGUAGUUAAUACCUGCUAGUUGUGACGUUACUUACAGAAGAAGCACCGGCUAACUCCGUGCCAGCAGCCGCGGUAAUACGGAGGGUGCGAGCGUUAAUCGGAAUUACUGGGCGUAAAGCGUACGCAGGCGGUUUGUUAAGCGAGAUGUGAAAGCCCCGGGCUCAACCUGGGAACUGCAUUUCGAACUGGCAAACUAGAGUAUGAUAGAGGGUGGUAGAAUUUCAGGUGUAGCGGUGAAAUGCGUAGAGAUCUGAAGGAAUACCGAUGGCGAAGGCAGCCACCUGGGUCAAUACUGACGCUCAUGUACGAAAGCGUGGGGAGCAAACGGGAUUAGAUACCCCGGUAGUCCACGCCGUAAACGAUGUCUACUAGGAGCUGGGGUCUUCGGACAACUUUUCCAAAGCUAACGCAUUAAGUAGACCGCCUGGGGAGUACGGCCGCAAGGUUAAAACUCAAAUGAAUUGACGGGGGCCCGCACAAGCGGUGGAGCAUGUGGUUUAAUUCGAUGCAACGCGAAGAACC
rnacentral:rRNA from 1 species